rnacentral:misc_RNA from 1 species
AGCAGCCGCGGUAAUUCCAGCUCCAAUAGCGUAUAUUAAAGUUGUUGCAGUUAAAAAGCUCGUAGUUGAAUUUCGGGAUUGACACAUCGGUCGUGCCUUAAGGGGUAUGAACUGGUGUAGUCAAUUUCUCACCUUCUGGAGAACCGCGAUGCCCUUAAUUGGGUGUCGCGGGGAACCAGGACCUUUACUUUGAAAAAAUUUAGAGUGUUUAAAGCAGGCAUUUUGCUUGAAUACAUUAGCAUGGAAUAAUAAAAUAGGACGGCAUGAUUCUAUUUUGUUGGUUUCUAGGAUCACCGUAAUGAUUAAUAGGGAUAGUUGGGGGGCAUUAGUACUCAAUUGUCAGAGGUGAAAUUCUUGGAUUUAUUGAAGACUAACUACUGCGAAAGCAUUUGCCAAGGAUGUUUUCAUUAAUCAAGAACGAAAGUUAGGGGAUCGAAGACGAUCAGAUACCGUCGUAGUCUUAACCAUAAACUAUGCCGACUAGGAAUCAGACGAUGUUAAUUUUUU